CUAGCCGCCCAGCCGGGUUCUCUCGCCCUCUGGCGGUCCGACUGCGUCAAGCAGAUACAUCCAGCCCUAGGGUUCUAGGACUCAAAGCAGUUGCCCUGCGCGGGGACCCCAUCUGCUCCUGGAAACUACAAGCUUCGGCUUGUGUACCAGCAUUGAGCAUAACAGCCCCCCAAGAGUAAGGGACCUUCCUAGAAACUUCCAACCAAUCCAAACUUCCAGCACUGCUUCCACGGCCUCUGAUCCCACACCACAAGGCACCACCUCUUCACUGCACCAGAAUCUCUCAUCACUUCAGCCGGGUUCCACCUUCCCAGGAGUAGGUCCAGAACCGACCGCAAGGUCAUACGUUGGUCCAAAGCCACAGCCCUACCUGAAAGCUAACGUAAAAACCCAAUGGUUUUUCUUUUCCUGACUCCUUAAAUACCAAGAAAAAGCGACUUCCCCAAAUAGACAGAAACAGAAAGUACCCUUUGGGCGGGCCCAGACGUUGGAACUAGGUGUGAAGGAGCUCAGUGCCCAGCAGGGUCUCUCCACAGUGAUCUCCCUCCCGACUACCUGAGCAGCGUGGUCCAUACAAUUGUCUCUCCAGUCUACUUCGCUCACACAAGGAUCUUGACAUUUGGAGGAGAGGGAUGGAGGAGGCGAGCCCCGCUGUAAAGGAACGGACAAGGUGGACAGUGUGUGUCCGAUGAAGAAGACUGAGAAGAGCACACGUAACAGUCUGGGAGUGAAGUAGGGAAGCUAUGGAAUGUUUGACUUCUGCAUUCUUGCUGAUCCCAAAACGGAAGGCAGAAACCCAGAAACCCAGAAACCCAGCAAUGCUGCCCUCCAAUGGCACUGUGCUCUCUUUCUUACUAGCAGCUGUGGCCCAGAUGUUGAGUUUGAAAUUGUCCUGCCUUCGACACUGGGGUGUGUUGUUGUCCCUGCAGGGCUGACCACCAGCCAGACCUCAAGAGCACCUGGUAUCUUUCGGGACAGAAAUUAAAAUGGCAGCCUCCAGAAACACUCCCCAACCCCCAGUGCAGCUGGGAAGACCCACGGGCACUUCUGUCACUCGGUGGCACCUGGUUACAUUCCCACCACCUUGCAGCUGUUGUUUCCUCUUACAAACAAGGCUGUUUGCAAUCGCCCGGCUUCCCUUCGUUGCCUGAUGUUUUCAAAGAGCACCCUGCCGUUUUGACUUCCCCAUCUUACAUUUAGUCCACUGUGUUCUAGAAGAAGGCCAGAGCCAGCAUGCUAGUUGGCAUACCUUACUGUUGCCACCUUUCCGAAGAAAACUCCCCUGGUUCCUGAAGACCCUUCACCCCAGACCUGUUUCUGGCUUUGUUAGUUCAUAGCCAGUCAACAAAUUACUUCAGCUACCAUUCACUCCUGGGAAAAGACUGAUCCCACAGGAGCUGGGAAACAGAAGAAAAUAAAACAUUCACAUUUGCAGUUUCAGUGUCCGGGGGAAUAUGUAAGGGUCAUAGGCUAAAUUAUUAAGGAUUUACCAAGGCUGGGUAUAGUGGCGCAUGCCUCUAAUCCCAGCACUCAGGAGGCAGAGGUAGGAAGAUCUCUGUGAGUUCGAGGCCAGAGAGUUCUAGAACAGUCAGGACUAUACAGAGAGACCUGGUGUCAACAAAAUAAAGCAAAACAAAACAAGCAAACAAAAAGAAAUGAAGGAAGGAAUGAAGGAAGGAGGAAGAAUGAAAGAAAAGAUUAGUUACCUACAGAGGCUGAAAAGAGGGCUCAUUGGGUAAAAGAGAUCACCUCACAAGCCUGACCACCAGAGCUCCAUCUCUAGAACCCAUGAUGGAAGAGGGAAACACAUUCUGGAAAGUUGUUCUAUGACUUUUUAAAGCAUGUGCCGCAGUACAUAUGAGCCUGUGCUCAUAUACACACAUGCACACACAGGCACUCACAUACACACAUGCAUCCACACACACACACAUAUACUCACAUAACACACAUGCACACACAUGCAAACA